rnacentral:rRNA from 1 species
GACCUAAUCGUUGGACUGCGGGAGAUACUGUCGGGCUAGGGGGCGGGAGAAGCCGAUGGUAUUCCCGGGGUAGGGGUGAAAUCCUAUAAUCCCGGGAGGACCACCAGUGGCGAAGGCGGUCGGCUAGAACGCGCUCGACGGUGAUGGACGAAAGCUGGGGGAGCGAACCGGAUUAGAUACCCGGGUAGUCCCAGCCGUAAACGAUGCGGGCUAGGUGUUGGGGAGGCUACGAGCCUCUUCAGUGCCGCAGCGAAAACGUUAAGCCCGCCGCCUGGGGAGUACGGCCGCAAGGCUGAAACUUAAAGGAAUUGGCGGGGGAGCACCACAAGGGGUGAAGCUUGCGGUUCAAUUGGAGUCAACGCCGGGAACCUUACCGGGGGCGACAGCAGAAUGAAGGCCAGAUUGAAGGUCUUACCAGACGAGCUGAGAGGAGGUGCAUGGCCGUCGCCAGUUCGUGCCGUGAGGUGUCCUGUUAAGUCAGGCAACGAUCGAGACCCGCACCCCCUGUUGCCAGCGGACCCCGCUGGGAUGCCGGGCACACUGGGGGGACUGCCGCCGAUAAGGUGGAGGAAGGAGCGGGCCACGGCAGGUCAGUAUGCCCCGAAUCCCCCGGGCCACACGCGAGCUGCAAUGGCUGGGACAAUGGGUUUCGACCCUGAAAAGGGGAGGCAAUCCCGAAACCCAGCCUCAGUUGGAAUCGAGGGCUGCAACCCGCCCUCGUGAACAUGG